rnacentral:other from 1 species
UUUAUUCUGAAGUGUGCGUAAGGAAAGCAAGAUUUGAAAAAACCGAUAAGCCUUUUUUAGGGAAGUAAGGUUUUUGAAGGAUCGGAAAAGCCUAUUUUUUAGGACUUCCGGACUCAAGUGAUUACUGCCCACGUUGGAAUAAAGGGUUUUAUUCAAGUUCUUUCCUACGGCACAAUUGGAAAAAAU